ACCGAAGAAACACCUCUGAGCAUUCUAAAGCUCAGAGUCCUCUCCUCUAAGCAUCACACAUCGCUCUCAUCUCCAUCUACUCACAUCCAGAGCUUCAACACCCUGCAAAACACCAUCACAUCCCUCCCAGGAUGAGUCGCAGCAACAGGAAGGGCUCUAGGGGCCUUGACCUGAAGCUGAAUCUCUCUCUUCCGGCAACUGGAGACUCCUCCAGGAGGACGAUGGCUGACGAGGAGUCAUCCCCCAGCUCCUGCCUGUCAUCCGAGAAUGAGCAUGGUCUGCAGUGGUCCAACAGCCCCGAGGCCACGUCCAUGGUUCUUGCAGCUUGUCCUCGCUGCUUCAUCUAUGUGAUGCUCCCCCAGGAUGACCCUAGGUGCCCCCAGUGCAAGAGCCCCGUGCUCCUUGACUUCCUGCAGGAUAACAACAACAGUAAGAACAACAGCAAUAGCAAUAGCAGCAGAAGGAGCAGGAGGGGAUGAAGAACAUGGUUCCAUUAGGCGGCAUAUCAAGAAAAAGCGCUAUAUGAAGUCCUAGGUCCAGUAGGUCUAUUUUGUCUGGUCAUUUCUUCAGUGUAACCGUGAUAUAUCCAUAAAAAUUGUGUAAGCUAGCACCCAUGUGUUACUAUCACAAUUUUGAUAUAUCACAGAUACACUGGGGAAUGGGGACUAUAUCCUUCAUCCUUGUUUCCUCCUUUUGCGGCUCUAAAUGUAAUAGUUUUACUUAGAGAUAUGACCAGACUUCCUGCCUUUUCAUUUUCAAGAUAACAAGAAAAGUUCACCCCUGAUAGUGUGAAAUUGAGAAGUAACUUCAUCCUAUCAUCCAUAUUGUUGGUGUAUAUUGAGCCCAUGUGUAUAGAGGCCCAUCUAGAGGCACAUGUAUAGGAAUUAUAUAUACCCACCCUUCUAGGGUUGGAGGAAUACAAGCAAUUAUUCUCUC